CUCUGAAGUACUUAUCAGUAUCCUAUCGUCUUUGCGCAUGUUCUCUAUUCCUGGCAAAAAAGGGCCUGUGUCUUAUUAAGUUUCUUGGGAUUAGAAGUAAGGAUGUACUACUUUUUGUUCAGUGAAAAGCUGCGAAAGAUGAGCUAAAUGAGAGCGAAGAGGAAGAACCAGAGAGAUCGUAUGAGAUUCUAGAAAGGAAGAGACAACGAGAAAUUGAGGAAUCGAAAGCUCAUCAAAUCGCCAGUGGAGAAGCUAAAGACAACGCUAAUUUCCAACCCCUUGGUGGUGACUGGCGUGAGAAAGUGAAAUGAAGGAAACAGGAAGCAGCCCGAAAAGCUGCGGAAUCGGAGCCUACAAAAGACCAAAACCAGAAGCCUGAUCUGAAACAAAUGUCGGGGGAUCUCCCCUCGGGAUGGCAGGCAUAUUGGGACGAGAGCGCCAAAAAUGUAUACUACGGGAAUACCAUUACGUCUUAGACAUCAUGGACCCUUCCCUCCACCACCAGUUAAGACAGAGAUACAUAGAGACUCGUUUCGGUAUACAAGAGCGUGCCUUUGAGGGAGAGUCUUCAUACAAAAAAAACCGUGGUCGAGGAUGGGAGGGAUGUGGAAGUCUUUCAAGUUUCAUCGACCCUCGUCCGUACAAUAUGUAAUGUUAUGUAUACUAUUCCCCAAGUUACAAACAAGAAACGAUCAUCCCAUAUUGUCACCGGUGCCUGAUUUAGAAGAACCCAUCAUGGAAAGGUUGAUAGGUACCGAAAUGCCACGUGGCAUUCUGCUGCUGCUGCUGCUAUGUCGUCGGUGGUAGCGGCACCUGAAGGAGCCAGGGUGGGUGGUUGGGGCGCAGAGGCAGUUGAACCUCCCGCUCGACGACCUCCCCAUGACCGAGCCAGAGCCAGAGCCACUGCCACUGCGGCCUCCUGCUCUGGGGGACAUGUUGUAAGCCUCCUGCCUUUUCACGUCUUCAUGGCUCAUCUCCGGCAUCCUUAUCUUCUUUGUCUCUUUCAAUGUUGUCUUAAUCUCCUUCUUCAUCUUCACCAUCCUCUCCUCUUCUUCCUCCUCCUUUAUCUCUUCCAUUUCCCCUCUCUGUUUCAACCCGACGAAAAAUGAUCCAGAUUUUCCAAAUCAGAUAUGAACAGGGUAUCCGUGUUUAGAUAUGAAAAACACCAACAUUUUUGGAUCUAACUCAUCAACUAGAAGCGAUGUUCGCGUA